GGACAAAGGGAAAGAAGCCUAUGUGUAACUUUAUUUAAUUCUUCCUUCAGUUCCGUGAGGUCUUACCAUCACCACUUCAGCCUUGCAUCAAACUAGGGCAGAUGCUGAACAUGCUCUUUUCAGAGUAGAGAAAGAGUCUUUUGCUUUGUUUUGUUGCCUUGUGGAAGUCUGAAGACAAGUCAAGAUGUUUAUCUCUCCUGCACUUCAUUUCUACACAAGUUAGUGAGAAACAGAGUGGGGGGAAUUGCUUUCUUGGAGUAGAGGCCAGAGUGACCUCAACAGUCUCCCCUAGGCCCUUCCCCCACCAUUUUUUGGGUGAAGCUGAGUGCUUUGCUGCAAAAUACCCCCUACUUGGUGUUUGCCUGGAUCUUUCUGGAAUGCAAAACCCCUUUGUCUGCUCAACACUGCUGGUGGCUUUAUGCGAGCAGUGAAUUCACAUCUAUAGAAGAGAAAAUCAAGGCUGGUUUAUAGAAGAGAAUAUAUGCGAGCAGUGAAUUCACAUCUAUAGAAGAGAAAAUCACUGAGCCCAAUGAGAAAGCUCAGGCGACUUUCAGGACUCUUGCCUUCUUCACAGAUUGCCAGAACAACAAACUUUCAUCUUA
rnacentral:antisense_RNA from 1 species